rnacentral:rRNA from 1 species
GACGAACGCUGGCGGCGUGCUUAACACAUGCAAGUCGAACGGAAAGGCCCUGCUUUUGUGGGGUGCUCGAGUGGCGAACGGGUGAGUAACACGUGAGUAACCUGCCCUUGACUUUGGGAUAACUUCAGGAAACUGGGGCUCAUACCGGAUAGGAGCUCCUGCUGCAUGGUGGGGGUUGGUAAGUUUCGGCGUUUGGGGAUGGACUCGCGGCUUAUCAGCUUGUUGGUCAGGUAGUGGCUUACCAAGGCUUGGACGGGUAGCCGGCGUGAGAGGCGGGUCGGCGACAUGGGAAGUGGGACGCGGUCCAGACGACUGCGGGACGGAGCAGUAGGGAAUCGGACGCAAUGGGCGGAAGCAUGACGGAGCGACGGCGCGUGUGAGGUGACAACCUUCGGUGCGGAAAACUGUGUUAUGGGGGAAGAACCGCUGUGGACGGAGACGAGGACUGCGUGACGGUAAUGAAUAAGAAAGCACCGGCUAACUACGUG